UCUGACUCAGUAACGAAGCUAACGCGUGAAGUUGACCGCCUGGGGAGUACGGCCGCAAGGUUAAAACUCAAAGGAAUUGACGGGGACCCGCACAAGCGGUGGAUGAUGUGGAUUAAUUCGAUGCAACGCGAAAAACCUUACCUACCCUUGACAUGUCUGGAACCUUGCUGAGAGGCGAGGGUGCCUUCGGGAGCCAGAACACAGGUGCUGCAUGGCUGUCGUCAGCUCGUGUCGUGAGAUGUUGGGUUAAGUCCCGCAACGAGCGCAACCCUUGUCACUAGUUGCCAUCAUUGAGUUGGGCACUCUAGUGAGACUGCCGGUGACAAACCGGAGGAAGGUGGGGAUGACGUCAAGUCCUCAUGGCCCUUAUGGGUAGGGCUUCACACGUCAUACAAUGGUCGGUACAGAGGGUUGCCAAGCCGCGAGGUGGAGCCAAUCCCUUAAAGCCGAUCGUAGUCCGGAUCGUAGUCUGCAACUCGACUACGUGAAGUCGGAAUCGCUAGUAAUCGCAGAUCAGCAUGCUGAGGUGAAUACGUUCCCGGGUCUUGUACACACCGCCCGUCACACCAUGGGAGUGGGUUUCACCAGAAGUAGGUAGCUUAACCUUCGGGAGGGCGCUUACCACGGUGAGAUUCAUGACUGGGGUG
rnacentral:rRNA from 1 species